UUNGGAGCUCUCCCAUAUGGUCGACCUGCAGGCGGCCGCGAAUUCACUAGUGAUUAGAGUUUGAUCCUGGCUCAGAUUGAACGCUGGCGGCGUGCUUAACACAUGCAAGUCGAACGUGAAAGUCCUUCGGGACGAGUAAAGUGGCGCACGGGUGAGUAACGCGUGGAUAAUCUACCCUUAAGAUGGGGAUAACGGCUGGAAACGGUCGCUAAUACCGAAUACGCUCCCGAUUUUAUCGUUGGGGGGAAAGAUGGCCUCUGCUUGCAAGCUAUCGCUUAAGGAUGAGUCCGCGUCCCAUUAGCUAGUUGGCGGGGUAACGGCCCACCAAGGCGACGAUGGGUAGCCGGUCUGAGAGGAUGACCGGCCACACUGGAACUGGAACACGGUCCAGACUCCUACGGGAGGCAGCAGUGGGGAAUAUUGCGCAAUGGGCGAAAGCCUGACGCAGCGACGCCGCGUGAGGGAUGAAGGUUCUCGGAUCGUAAACCUCUGUCAGGGGGGAAGAAACCCCCUCGUGUGAAUAAUGCGAGGGCUUGACGGUACCCCCAAAGGAAGCACCGGCUAACUCCGUGCCAGCAGCCGCGGUAAUACGGAGGGUGCAAGCGUUAAUCGGAAUCACUGGGCGUAAAGCGCACGUAGGCGGCUAAUCGAAUUCCCGCGGCCGCCAUGGCGGCCGGGAGCAUGCGACGUCGGGCCCAAUUCGCCCUAUAGUGAGUCGUAUUACAAUUCACUGGCCGUCGUUUUACAACGUCGUGACUGGGAAAACCCUGGCGUUACCCAACUUAAUCGCCUUGCAGCACAUCCCCCUUUCGCCAGCUGGCGUAAUAGCGAANAGGCCCGCACCGAUCGCCCNUCCCAACAGUUGCGC
rnacentral:rRNA from 1 species